AUCAAUCUCUCUUCUCUCUAAAAUACUUGCUGCCAUCAAACUUCGUCUCCAUCACCAAACCAACUCUUUUCCCGUGUUCCGGUCACCAUUCAACCACCUCUAGCAUCGGAUAACUUAAUGAGGGUCUGCGAGCAUCAUGUCGACGUCCUUUCCUCCAUUAGCGCCAAGUUCUAACGAAGAUAACCCAACUCUCUCUCGAUUGCGGCACCUACCCAUUACCUACUCCCGAUUUUCGAUCACCUCUCAUCGAUCUCAAGCCGACGAAGCCUCCUUUGACCUCUAACUGCCAACGAGAUGCUUUCCUCUUCCUUUCUGAUGCUAAGAAAGUUGCGAAUCGCAACCUUUGUCGCUUCACUGCUAUCGUAGUGAUAGUCAUUAAAUUUCAGCGAAGUCAAGCUUUUCCGAUGAAGGCUAUCGAUUUGCUAUGGGUUUGAGGUGAAUGAGCCAAUUCCUUCAUGAUUAGGUAAUGAAGGGUUUACGUGAGAGGGUUGCCUCAAAAUGUCUUAUAAAAGUGCAAUUGAUACGCCAAAUGCCAAAUAUAUCUCUAACAUCCGAUUGUUCAGACCAACCAGGUUCCAGUGGUGAUAAUACGACAGCUGUUUUCGAAGGAAGGAAGAAGAAGUGUUCAGAGCAUGAUUUUUGGGAGAAGGGAGCAUCCAGAGCAUGAAUUGUGGGAGACUGAAGUUGACAAAUAGGUUUUGUAACGAUAGAUAAAAAAAACUGGAAGCAGAGAUAAUUGUUUGUUAAUUUUAUAAUUUUAGCAUUAAAGGAUAAAAUAAAAAACUAUCUAAUGAACAGUGAAUCAUCUCUCAUUUUGGUGUAUAUAUAUAAUAUGAGAAAAUAUAUCAAGCCUUUAUAUUUUUAA